CUACGGGACGCAGCAGUGAGGAAUAUUGCACAAUGGGGGGAACCCUGAUGCAGCAACGCCGCGUGGAGGAUGACGCAUUUCGGUGUGUAAACUCCUUUUAUAUGUCAAGAAAAUGACGGUAGCAUAUGAAUAAGCACCGGCUAACUACGUGCCAGCAGCCGCGGUAAUACGGAGGGUGCAAGCGUUACUCGGAAUCACUGGGCGUAAAGGACGCGUAGGCGGGCUUGUAAGUCAGGUGUGAAAUCCUACAGCUUAACUGUAGAACUGCACUUGAAACUACGAGCCUAGAGUAUGGGAGGGGGAGAUGGAAUUAGUGGUGUAGGGGUAAAAUCCGUAGAUAUCACUAGGAAUACCUAAAGCGAAGGCGAUCUCCUGGAACAUUACUGACGCUAAGGCGUGAAAGCGUGGGGAGCAAACAGGAUUAGAUACCCCCGUAGUC
rnacentral:rRNA from 1 species